UGUAAGCGUAUACCAAAGUUGUUGCAGUUAAAACGCUCGUAGUCGGAAUUUGGCAGUUCCGGAUGUGUGCACGUCGUGUGCGCACUUCGCGGGGAUUGCUUUUGUGGUCUUGCGUAGGAUGAGGCACUUUUAUUAGUGAACGUCCUCACGCAACCACUUUUUACUGUGAGAGAAUCAGAGUGCUCAAAGCAGGCAUUUGCCGUGAAUGUAUUAGCAUGGAAUAAUAGAAUAGGACUUGGUUCUAUUUUGUUGGUUUGUUGGGACUGAGUAAUGAUUAAGAGGGACAGUUGGGGGCAUUUGUAUUUCGGUGCUAGAGGUGAAAUUCUUAGAUUACCGAAAGACAAACUGCUGCGAAAGCGUCUGCCAAGGACGUUUUCAUUGA
rnacentral:rRNA from 1 species